CCUACGGGUGACAGCAGUGAGGAAUAUUGGUCAAUGGACGAGAGUCUGAACCAGCCAAGUAGCGUGAAGGAUGACUGCCCUAUGGGUUGUAAACUUCUUUUAUAUGGGAAUAAAAUGUUCCACGUGUGGGAUUUUGUAUGUACCAUAUGAAUAAGGAUCGGCUAACUCCGUGCCAGCAGCCGCGGUAAUACGGAGGAUCCGAGCGUUAUCCGGAUUUAUUGGGUUUAAAGGGAGCGUAGGUGGAUUGUUAAGUCAGUUGUGAAAGUUUGCGGCUCAACCGUAAAAUUGCAGUUGAAACUGGCAGUCUUGAGUACAGUAGAGGUGGGCGGAAUGCGUGGUGUAGCGGUGAAAUGCUUAGAUAUCACGAAGAACUCCGAUUGCGAAGGCAGUUCACUGGACUGCAACUGACACUGAGGCUCGAAAGUGUGGGUAUCAAACAGGAUUAGAUACCCUAGUAGUC
rnacentral:rRNA from 1 species